rnacentral:lncRNA from 10 species
GGGCUCCCUCCGUCACGGAGAGGUGAGGGCUCCCCUCAUCACAGAGAGGUGAGGGCUGCCCUGUCACGGAGAGGUAAGGGGUUCCUUACAGAUUUGGGCUGUGUUUAACACCAAGUUUGGGGAUGGCAUAAGUGUCCAUCAACCAGAAAUGGAUAAUUGCCAUUUUGUAGGGAAUGAGAUACACUAUACCAGAGUUCAAAGGGUUGAAUUGCAGCUACAGGUUACAACACUGACAGUUUGAAACCACUUUGGAGAAAAAAGCAAAAAUCAGGUUGAAGGAAGACCCUUAUGCCUCCGUGUAUGUAAAACUUAAAAACAUGGAAA